AACGAACGCUGGCGGCGUGCUUAACACAUGCAAGUCGAACGAGAAAGCGGGCUUCGGCCCGUGAGUACAGUGGCAGACGGGUGAGUAACACGUGGGUAACCUGCCCAGAAGUGGGGAAUAACUCUUCGAAAGGAGGGCUAACACCGCAUAACAUCACAGAGUCCCUGGACUCCGUGAUCAAAACAGGCCUCUGAUUCAUGCUUGUGCUUCUGGAGGGACCCGCGCCCCAUUAGCUUGUUGGUGAGGUAACGGCUCACCAAGGCUCCGAUGGGUAGCCGGCCUGAGAGGGCGAUCGGCCACACUGGAACUUAGACACGGUCCAGACUCCUACGGGAGGCAGCAGUGAGGAAUAUUGCGCAAUGGGCGAAAGCCUGACGCAGCGACGCCGCGUGGAGGAUGAAGGCCUUCGGGUUGUAAACUCCUGUCAGGGGGGACGAAUGUCAACAGGAUGAAUAAUCCUGUUGGUUGACGGUACCUCCAAAGGAAGCCCCGGCUAACUCCGUG
rnacentral:rRNA from 1 species